rnacentral:rRNA from 1 species
GAACUCGGCAAAUUACCCCCGUAACUUCGGGAGAAGGGGGGCCACAGACUGUCAUACCCCACGCGGGUGGCAGCAGUAGGUGGCCGCAGAGACCAGGGGGAAGCGACUGUUUACUAAAAACACAGGUCCGUGCGAAGUCGUAAGACGAUGUAUACGGACUGACGCCUGCCCGGUGCUGGAACGUUAAGGGGACCGGUUAGUCCGCAAGGGCGAAGCUGAGAACUUAAGCGCCAGUAAACGGCGGUGGUAACUAUAACCAUCCUAAGGUAGCGAAAUUCCUUGUCGGGUAAGUUCCGACCUGCACGAAUGGCGUAACGACUUCCCUACUGUCUCAACCACAGGCCCGGCGAAAUUGCACUACGAGUAAAGAUGCUCGUUACGCGCGGAAGGACGGAAAGACCCCGGGACCUUCACUAUAGCUUGACAUUGGUAUCCGAAUUUAAUUGUGUAGGAUAGGUGGGAGGCUUUGAUCCGCGGACGCCAGUCCGUCGGGGAGCCAACGUUGAAAUACCACUCUGUUGAAUUUGGGUAUCUAACUUCGGACCGUGAUCCGGUUCAGGGACAGUGUCUGGUGGGUAGUUUAACUGGGGCGGUUGCCUCCUAAAAUGUAACGGAGGCGCCCAAAGGUUCCCUCAGCCUGGUUGGCAAUCAGGUGUUGAGUGCAAGUGCACAAGGGAGCUUGACUGUGAGACUGACAGGUCGAGCAGGGACGAAAGUCGGGACUAGUGAUCCGGCACCUGCGAGUGGAAGCGGUGUCGCUCAACGGAUAAAAGGUACCCCGGGGAUAACAGGCUGAUCUUCCCCAAGAGUCCAUAUCGACGGGAUGGUUUGGCACCUCGAUGUCGGCUCGUCGCAUCCUGGGGCUGGAGUAGGUCCCAAGGGUUGGGCUGUUCGCCCAUUAAAGCGGCACGCGAGCUGGGUUUAGAACGUCGUGAGACAGUUCGGUCCCUAUCCUCCGCGCGCGUAGGAGACUUGAGAAGAGCUGUCCCUAGUACGAGAGGACCGGGACGGACGAACCUCUGGUGUGCCAGUUGUCAUGCCAAUGGCACGGCUGGUUAGCUACGUUCGGAAGGGAUAACCGCUGAAAGCAUCUAAGCGGGAAGCUCGCUUCAAGAUGAGGUCUCCCACCCCUUCGAGGGUUAAGGCCCCCAGCUAGACCACUGGGUUGAUAGGCCAGAAGUGUAAGCCUGGUAACAGGUUCAGCCGACUGGUACUAAUAGGCCGAGGACUUCACCG